rnacentral:lncRNA from 1 species
AUGCUUAACCAGAAAGACUAUCAUGAGAAGAUUUUGUCACUGCUCAGUGAUGAAAAUACUUAUGAGCCCGUCAAACGAGACCCAGGAAGUGGCUACAGGAAGAGGGUCAUAGACUGUCUGAAGCAGUUAGAACAAGACAAGGCUAUCGACCGGACCUCAUACCACAGGCUGUACCCAGGGGAGUCUACACCACGUCUGUAUGGUUUACCGAAAAUACAUAAACAGGGUGCACCUUUAAGACCAAUUGUCUGCAUGAUCAACACGGUCACCUAUAACAUCUCCAAGUUUCUGGCUUCGAUCCUCAACCCGCUGGUGGGCAGCUCUGAACACCACAUCCAGAACACCCUGGAUUUUGUUGAGAAGGUGAGAGAUGUCAUUAUGGAGGCAGAUGAAACCAUGGUCUCGUACGACGUUACAUCUCUCAUCACUUGCAUCCCAGUCACGGAAGCGUUGGAGGUAGUUCGUAAGAGAUUACAGGAUGACACCAACCUCAGCAGCAGGACCACUCUCAGCAUCGACCAAGUGUGUUUGCUUUUGGAACUGUGUCUUCAUUCCACCUACUUCACAUACAAGGGUCAGUUCUACAGGCAGAAACAUGGGUGUGCCAUGGGCUCCCCAGUUUCACCCAUCGUGGCCAAUUUGUACAUGGAAGAAGUGGAAAAGCGGGCUUUGCUAUCCUACCCUGGAUCACCACCAAACCACUGGUUCACAUAUGUGGAUGACAGGUGGGUGAAAAUCAAAUCUCAAGACGUACUACAUUUCACGGAUCACAUUAACUCGGUGGACCAACACAUCAAAUUCACCAGGGAGGGUAUGAAAAGUGGCAGGUUAGCCUUCUUAGACUGUGAGAUUUCCAUCAGUAAUGGGGGACAUCUAAAAGCUGACAUGUACCGGAAACCUACGCAUAUAGAUCAGCAUCUAAGAUUUUUCUCGUUUGGCUCUCAGCGAAGGCGGUCGCACUUUUCUCCUCUCUUCCUACCCUUAUCUUCCCUGCUUAGCCGCUUAUGUCCUUGUCUGGUCUUGUGCUUUCUUCUUACUCCCCUGGAACACUCUCUCACAGUCUGUGUCUAA